GGAGAGGGGACGCGUCCCCACCGCCGCCCGCUCGCACACGCACGGCACUCCGCCGCCGCAGCGCUCUUGGAGCGGCACCGCGGCUUGCUCGGGGCUCCUCGGCUCGCGCUUCUCUCCUCAGAAAUUCAGGCAGAGCCGCGGCGGAGAGCGGGAAAGGUCCCCCUUCUGAGCCCUCUGUGAGAGCUCUGCUGACGGAGGCUCCCACCGCCCCGGCAGAAGGAGCCCCGCUCUGCGGAGCAGAGGUAUUUAUUGACGGGCUAAUUGAAGGGAGGGAAUAGCCCCGACAUCCAGCAGCAGCACAAGUUGUGAACACGGGACCUUAAAAGCUGCUGGGACCUCCGUUUUGCUGGAGAAAGGUUUAAUAUAAAUUAAGCGGGGUGAUGAUUAACUACGGCAGCAUCUGAAGCGCGGUGAGGAGCGAGCGCUGCUCUCUGCCCUUGGAAACCAAAGCAAUCCCUUCCCGAGUGGAGAGGGAGCACUCAGCAUCCUUCCCUCGGCUGCGUCCUUCCCAGAGCUAACCCUCCGUGCUGAAAGCCGAUGGUUAGAAGUAGCAGCACAAUGCAAAAACCCUGCGGUUUGCUCCUGAAGUUCGUGUUUUUGUUAACAGAGCUUCGCCGGCUUCAAAGUUACAGGUGGUGUUUGCUAAGGUUUACAUUCGUGCUGUCACUCACACAAGUGUCGCUAUAUAUCACCCCACGCUAAGAAAACACACUUUGUGAUUGAAGAAUGGCAUUGUGUUUGCACACGCAUUUUACAAGUAACAAAAUCCAUUUAAUUGACAUGAAAAACACGGCUGCUGCUAGUAAGUUUGGGGGCAGCGUCCUGCUUGCAGCCGUAAAAAUAACUCCGGGGAGAACAAAGCGCUUCAGUGCAGAGGGCUGGCUGCGGCGGGAGCGGGGUGGGUGCCAUGCCUUCACAUAAUGAUUGUGUUUAUACACGGCAGGAAGCAUCUGUAAUCCACAGCUGCGGGUGCUCCAGCCCCGAGUCCUGAUAAAAUCUACACCUAUGCUUCUGCAUGAAUGAAAACAGGCUGCUGGACCUGACCGAAAUGCAGCCCGUGUUGGUGAAGUUUUGUGGGUGCCAUCGCCCUCCUUCCUGUUGUGCACCCCAGCGCCUGCUCUGCUCACAUCUCCAUCACGUUCACUCCUCGCACACCAUUUGCCCCAGUCAAGGGACACCCCAGUCAAGUGGCACCCCCAGCUGCCCCACAACAUGGAGGCAGAGACCCCCCAGCUGCUCGCUGGAGGUUCAGCCUCUUGGCCAAAGAGUGAAGCACUUUCUCUGCCAAGUUCCCUUCUCUCAGGGUGCACAUGCACCCAAAGCAGCACUGUACUGACCUCCCUCCCCAUGCUCACCUCACUGUGCCACCCACCCUGCAGAGUGAAGCCAGCAGUACAUACUGUUCAUACAACGUUUUCAGACCACUUCAGCUCCCCUUCUCAAGCUCUGUGGAAGAGCCGUGCAACAGUUUAAGUUGGGACUUGGCAAAGCAAUGUUGCAGCUGCAGAGGAUGCACGAUGCUUAGCAGAGGUGACCUGUGACGUGGGCUCUGCUAGGUUUCACACCUGGAGCAGCACAGGUAGCAACCCGAGGCUUGCAGACGCCACUGGCAUCUGAUGCUUGUGGGUUUGUUUCAAAAAUCAUACUCUGAAUUCCGAUAGAGCUCUGCCUUCCUUCCCUGCUGCUGUGAGUGGAUGCUCCAACACAGAAGGCUGCCAGGCAGGAGUUGUGAAAAUAUGGCUGUACGAUCUUUAAUUCUUUGUUUUUGCAAAGACUGGUUUAGAACAGUGGUAAAGGGACACAACUGUCUUAAAUUAAUCAUUUUCCUAAGUUGAAAAAUACCCUUCUUUUCCCAUAAUUAUUUUCAGUUCAAGAAUUCAAAAAUUCAGCUGCAGUGAAGUUUAAUCCAUCUCUAUAAACGCACAAGAAUGGAAAAACACGCAGCUUUUCAGAGGCUUCCAGCAAUACCCAGAAAUAUGUGUAUAAAUUUCCAAACAGCAAAUUUAAAAAGCCUGCAGAGAAAAGAAGUAAAAAAUCCUGAAUUAAAACUCUCUGUUUGUUAUUGGUGCAUGAGUUAUGCCGUAUCAGAUGUCACCCACUUUCGCUUGCCCCAGAACAACAGCUUGGACAAGUGGGAAAUAUUGGGUACUCAGUGAAAAUGGGGUGUGAUGCAGCUCCACAGCAGUCUCAGGAUGGGAGUCUCUUUACAAUGAACAAAAUGAUUUCUGUCUUUGUAUUUUUCAAAUGUUCCAACACCACAAAGUCGUGCCACAGUAGAUUAAACAGAAAAAUAACAGUUUCUGAAAUACAAUCUCCAAAAAAAUAAUUGCAGGAGAAAUAUUCAUUCCUAGUCCAAUAAAUCCCUAAUUUUAAAUGUCAGCUGCAAAGCAUAAAUCCUUUUAAUAGAUUUCAAACUGCGGUGACAAAGUUGUAAUUGUAGGGUCCAGCCCACUCGAAAGAACUGAAUGCCGUUGCUCUGUAUUAGCCACCCUUCUGGUUUAAUUUCUGUUUUUUUUUUCCAGGGGUUUUGUUUUGCUUUGCCUUGUUUUGGGUUUGUUCUUUUCUUUUUUUUUUUUUGAUCCUUGUUUGUUUGUUUGUUUUUGCUGCGGCAUUUUAAUCUCCUCUCUUUUAGGAAUUUUCUGUUACAUUCCUGAGCCUGGUUCUGGAAUACUUUCAUCUCAGAUUGAGCAGAAUCUUGUUUCUGUUCCUCGGUAGAUGUCUGAAGUGCAAAAUCUACUUGAUCAUAACUUUCUGUGGGGUUUACUGCAGGGUAGUCUGCACGUAAAGACCCUGAAGUCAUGUGAAAUAGGAGCCUUGACCUCAAGACACAAUAAAGUUGGCUGGUUUGGUUGUGGCUCAAAAGGUCACUUUUUUUCGGGGACUGCCUCUGAGUGCUGUUUUAAACUAAUUAUUACCUUUGAUUUUAACUUAACAUUUGUUUAAAAAGAAAAAAAAAAGAGAGAGAGGAAAGAAGAAAAGAAAAAGAAGAAAGAAUGAAAAGGAAAUGAAAGGAAAAGGAAAAAACCCUCAGUUACUACUACUUAAACAGUUUGACUGGCAUGUAUAUCACAUUAUGGACAUAUGAAAAGACAAGAUUUCUGCCUGAGGAGCUUAUAGUGUAAAACAGACAGAAAGUACCGUGAAUAAUAAAAGCAGACAGAGCAGAGAUUUGUGUGUGUACGUGGGAAGAGUGGGGAGGUGCGUAGAAACAUAUUCAGAGCUCAGAAAUAUUCUACCAAUUGACACUGAUUAUGAUACUUUUCUUUCUUGUUCUGUUUCCAUGUACGUACGGUAAUAGCUUUGUUCUUCUCUAUUUACCUGUUUUUUCAGUGAGAUAUUCUAUCACAGGAGAUCACCUGCUUUCUUUUUCUGUUCUAGGUUCUAGGACAAUGGGUAACACACAUACAUCUUUAUUUUUCUACUCGGCCAUAACAUAUGACACCGAAAUCCCCCCCUCAAAAUGUUAUAUCUGCUUCCCUUGGCAGGGUUUCCCUAGUAAUCCACAGUGACUCACCACUGCAAAGUACAAUUCUCACUUAACAGAAAAUAAAAAUGAGCUUGAAAUUUUGGACUUCUGACUCUACCAUCCCCUAACAAAUGCCAUCUUUAGGUUUGUUGUUGUUGUUUUGCUUUGUUUCUUAUAUAUAUAAAAUGUUCAGAAACAGGCAAACAAACAAGAUAUUUGGAGUCAACCUCUUUUUCCUUAUGCUCAGCUGCAUUAGGCGAUUGAAAAUGGAAAAAGAAGAAAAAGAGAGCUAAACAGCUCUUUAACAAAGGAUGAACGCUACAUGGGCUUCAUUCUUUUUAGGUGUUGAAAGUGAGAUGCUGUCAGAAAUAGGAGUAUCAGAAAAGGUGACGGAACAAGCCGAGAAAUUACACUGCAGUCAAUCAGCCGGGCCAGAUGGUAUUCAUCCGAGAGUUCUGACGGAACCAAGGACCGGCGCAAGUGAGCUGCUAACAAAAAUAUGUAAUUUAUCAUUAAAAACAGCUACUGUACCAGAGGACUGGAGAAUGGCCAAGGUUGUACCCAUCUCUUAAAAAGGUGCUAAUGAUGAUCCUGGGAAUUAUAAACCAGUAACUCUUACUUCAGUACUAGGAAACUAUUCAGAGAAUCGCUGCACAUAAUGUGCCGAGGCACACAGAUAGCAAGGGAAAGCUGCAGUGCUCCUACUGAAAUCCUCUCAGCUCUCUUGGAACUACACGAAAGAGUUAAUGAACUAGUCAAUAAAGUAGAACCAGAAGACGCAAUUUAUUUAGUGUUUCCAAAAGCUUAUAGUAAAGUCUCUCAGAAGAAAAACCACAGCAGCUCCAGAAUUAAAAUCCAGUUGUGCUGAAAAACUGGCUAGAGGAUGGAAAACUAUAUAUAUUUAUCAGACUGCUUUGAAUCGUGCCUCUUGAAAGCAUUUUAUAAACGCUAGCAGAUGCCCACCACUUCCAAAUGAGCUGGUUGUACCAGAGGUUAAAGAGCUUACCUGGAAUUGAAGGGACAGCUGUGGCAGAGCCAGGGCUUCGGCUCCGGAGCAGCAGGUUCCAGAGUUGUGCUCGGCUCCCCAAGCUGCGAAAGGAUCAGCAGUCAUGCAAGCAGAGAGGUUAACUCCGAAUUGCCCCUGGGAUCAAUAGUAGCCAUAAGGAUGGGUUUGUCCAACGUGUUCAUUAACCACCUUAAACAUCUUCCAGAAUGAGGAUGGUAACAUUUGUUUUCACUGCUACAGCCACAGCUUGCUUGCUGGUGUUCAGACCUGGCACCCAUUGAUCUAAAUGGGAAAAUUCAUGACAGCACUUGGCCAUUUAUUGAGUUAACUGAAUUUCGGCAAAACCUAAAGAAAUUCCAGAGUAAGCUAGAGAACUGAGAUAGAAUGGCAAUAUGAUGGCAGUCAAAAUUAAACAGACUAUUGCCGAGGAGUUUGUGCCGGAAAAUAUUGUCAAGAACUGAUGGCAAUUAAUUAGCCCGGGAAAAUCUAAGCAUCAUUCACUGAAAAAAAGCUACCCAGCGUACUGCAGUAGCUUAGAAAGCAUACAAAAGCAGAUGAGACACUCAGAUACAUUAAAAACCAAAAAGAUGGCUGAACAUAAAAUAUUACUGCGUGAUUUCAUGAGUAAAAGUUGCAUUUCUGGACAUCCUGUCGUAUUUUUGUCACUGUGUUAUAGCAAAGUGAGGAAACACAGAGAAAUGCAGUAAACAUGAUUAAUGAAACAGGAGAUGGGACCAAGUUAGGAGGUAGACUUAGAAGAAAUCAUUUAAUUUAGAAGCAUGAAGAGGAUGAGGAGUUUUAGGACCACAUAAAAUUUCAGUUGAUGCAGAAAAGCUCAGAUGUUCCUGUCUGUUCUGUUUCAUUUCAGAAAAAAAAUAAGCAGGAAACAUAUUUAAAUGAAUAUAUGAAGGUGUUUUUUGUUGUGUUUUUUUUUUUUUUCUCGUUAGAAUAUAUAUCUGAGUCGUGGAAUUUAUUUUUGCAACAGAAGAUCGAGAAAAACAGCUCUGGGGGCGAUUGCUAUGCUUUAGUAGGAAAAAAAGGAGGAAAAAAAGAGAUUAGAAAAGGGAAACAAAAGCUAAGAGAGGAGGAAGAGUAACUCUGCCAUGUCUCCCCAUCCACACAGACCCUCUGGCUGUCCCUUCACACAGUGGCUUGUGGAGGAAGAUCCAAGAAACCCAUGACCCAAGCCAUCCUAUGCAACAUGUUUUCCCCUCUAAAGCCAUUCCUUUUUCUGACAGAAAUCCAUACAAGUUCUGCUGUGGGUCUCUCCUGCAGAGAGACUCUCUCUCUUGUCUCUCUCUCUGGGGCAGGAUGGGGGCAGAGAGGGAAGAGCACAGCCAGCCCAGAGCCUGGUCCUGUGCCAGAGCUGGGCCUGUGCUGCCCGACAUCCCUUCUAUCCCCAGGCACCGAUGCAAUCCCCUGAGAGGGGAAAAAGCAGUGGGAACUCCAUGUGCCUCUCCUGGUGGAAUUUCUCAGCACUUUUUCUUUCCUCGGGAUUUUUCCCAAGAGAAAGGAGUAUUUAGCCUUCACUUAGCUUUACCGAAGUAUUAGACAUUUAUUUGAUUAAGUACAGCAUCUGCAGCCGCACCAGCUAGAAUAAAAAUUACAAGGGCUAUCAAUCCUCAUACUUCAAGGCACGAGCUGAUGGCCAGCUGGGGUCGGGAAGAAAUUCCCCAGUGCUGCCAUGAGGUACAGGGUGCUGCCUCCCGCACCGGGCACAGUGCGAGGUCGGGGGCGCGGGGCCGGACGGGCCUUGGCCUCAGUGCAGGGAUUCCUUUGUUCCCGGGCUGGGUUUCUGUGCUGCACGAGUUUGUCAUCGUGUCUAAAUCAAGCGUUAAUUAUAAUUCUGAAAAUGCGGGAAUAUUCAUGAAUUCUUAUGUUGGCAAUAACCGUGCGUAAUACAAUACGGACAAAAACAACGUCUGCUGCGCAGCAAAAAGGAAGUUGACGGCUUUGAGCACAAGGCACUUUCUGUUUCCAGUUACCCUCCAGAACUCCUUGCACCCGAGAGUCAACGCCUUGGAGAAUAAUAACGUAAUUGCGAUUUUGUUUUAUGGUAUUCUGACAACAAAUUUGAUUCAGUAGUGUCUGCGCAGUUCAAACAAAACAAAGCACUCCAAGAGUUCGACUGCGCGAUGCUGAUAUUUUUUAUGAGCUCGAAUGUAAUCCAAAGAACGGCGUGAUGGUCUUGAUGAACAUACUUUAAAUAAAAUUUCCUUCUCUGGUUCUCUGGUUCCAUCAGCAUUUUGAUAGAACUCUGAGAGAAAAAAAAACAAAAAACCCCGAUAGCUGCUUUAUUCCUGUCAGGUUCUUUUUGUAAAGCAACUCGCGGAGAUGAUUGCAAGAGUACAUUAAAGGCAUGCAUUUUCGAAGUUAGUCAGUUGUCAAAGUGAUUUUGAGGGUUGACAAUCACAUUUAAGACAAAUAUAGAAAUCUGAAAGAAAUGCUUACAAGCAAUUUCAUAUUCUGGGCAAUGAUUUAGUUUGGAAAUGCAUCCAGUUCAAGGGUUAAAUGAAAGCAAAAGCAAUCACUUCAACCAUGUUUUUGAAGAAAAUAAAACAGCUUGAUGUAAGCUAAAUGAAGGGGGUCUGUGACUUAAAAGGAAUGGACAGAUAGAGAAAAAGGUCAGAAGAUUAAAUUUUCCCUAAGGGAAAAGUCAUUCUUUGGAAUCAUUAACCUCCUUCUAGGUCACUACUGAAAAAAACAGCAGGAAAUCCUACUGCUCCUAGAAAGAUGGGUGCAUCGUAUACCGCCCACUGACCUACCGGCACUGUGGCAAACAGAAUUCUGCUUACACAUUCUCCUCCAGGCGUGCUUGGUUUUAGUACGCCCAUUUUAAAGCAAUAUGAUCUUUUAGCUGAACUCUGAAGUGUAUCCAUAAAGGCAAUAUUCUAGGGGCUCUGGACGUUAAAAAAGAAGAAUCGCUUGUUUAAAUGUCUUUUUAACGGGG
ensembl:lncRNA